rnacentral:rRNA from 1 species
CAACCUGCCGAUGACUCGGGGAUAGCCUUUCGAAAGAAAGAUUAAUACCCGAUGGCAUAGUUCUUCCGCAUGGUGGAACUAUUAAAGAAUUUCGGUCAUCGAUGGGGAUGCGUUCCAUUAGGUUGUUGGCGGGGUAACGGCCCACCAAGCCUUCGAUGGAUAGGGGUUCUGAGAGGAAGGUCCCCCACAUUGGAACUGAGACACGGUCCAAACUCCUACGGGAGGCAGCAGUGAGGAAUAUUGGUCAAUGGACGAGAGUCUGAACCAGCCAAGUAGCGUGAAGGAUGACUGCCCUAUGGGUUGUAAACUUCUUUUAUACGGGAAUAAAGUGAGGCACGUGUGCCUUUUUGUAUGUACCGUAUGAAUAAGGAUCGGCUAACUCCGUGCCAGCAGCCGCGGUAAUACGGAGGAUCCGAGCGUUAUCCGGAUUUAUUGGGUUUAAAGGGAGCGUANGCGGACGCUUAAGUCAGUUGUGAAAGUUUGCGGCUCAACCGUAAAAUUGCAGUUGAUACUGGGUGUCUUGAGUACAGUAGAGGCAGGCGGAAUUCGUGGUGUAGCGGUGAAAUGCUUAGAUAUCACGAAGAACUCCGAUUG